rnacentral:rRNA from 1 species
AUCCAGCNAUGCCGCGAUGCUGUGAAGAAGGCCUUCGGGUUGUAAAGCACUUUUAUCAGGAGCGAAAUCGGCGUGGUCAAUACCCGCGUCGUCUGACGGUACCUGAGGAAUAAGCACCGGCUAACUUCGUGCCAGCAGCCGCGGUAAUACGAAGGGUGCAAGCGUUAGUCGGAAUUACUGGGCGUAAAGCGUGCGUAGGCGGUUGUUUAAGUCUGCUGUGAAAUCCCCGGGCUCAACCUGGGAAUGGCAGUGGAUACUGGGCAGCUAGAGUGUGAUAGAGGAUGGUGGAAUUCCCGGUGUAGCGGUGAAAUGCGUAGAGAUCGGGAGGAACAUCAGUGGCGAAGGCGGCCAUCUGGAUCAACACUGACGCUGAGGCACGAAAGCGUGGGGAGCAAACAGGAUUAGAUACCCUGGUAGUCCACGCCCUAAACGAUGCNAACUGGAUGUUGGUCUCAACUCGGAGAUCAGUGUCGAAGCUAACGCGUUAAGUUCGCCGCCUGGGGAGUACGGUCGCAAGACUG